GCGGUGCAGGUAUCCAGCCCAAACCCUCUGUUGCCCCGCAGGACACUGGGCCAGGGUGGCCGCUGGGGGACAUGCAUCCCGGGGGCCAAGCUGAGCCCUUGGAUCUUCCUCGGUGUCUGACACGUAGCAGGCUUCCAGGAAAGGUGUGCCGAGGUGAUGACAACGCCGGUCCCUCCCUAGAACUAACUUGGCAAACUUGGGUCCCACCCCGGGAGUCUGUUGCAAUCAUCCUUGUCCAGGUCCCGAGUGCGAGCAGGUGGGCACUGCGAAGAUUUCCGUUUUAUAGAUGAAGACACGGGGGCCCAGAAGGAACAACCGACUUGCCCAAGGCCAUCCAGCCACAGUGGUGAUGGAGGAUGUGAACCAGGGCGAGUCGGGCUCCAGCAUCUCCACUCCAAAGCCUGUUUUGCCCAAGCCAGAGCCCUUUUAAUGUCACCAAAGGCAGGAAAUGAACAGUCUAUGGG